rnacentral:snRNA from 1 species
ACUGCUUCUCGGCCUUUUGGCUAAGAUCAAGGGUAGAAUCAACAAAUCCUUUACUUCUUUACUUUGUAAUAUUGUAAUAUUAAUUUAGUUUAUGUUUAAAUUCAGUAUUAGAACACCCUUGCAGAUCCAUUUCUCUUUUAGUUGGGAAGCUUU